rnacentral:sRNA from 1 species
UCCGGACGGACGCCUAAUCCUGCCGCCGUCCGGGGCCCGCACACCCACCCGUGCACGGCAGGAGCGGGGGACCCACAGGUACGACGCCUGUUCCGGUUCCCGGAACGGCUCGGGGUAAAGCCGUGUGCCCGCACACGGCCGGACAUCUCCAGUCCGCACCCGACAGCUCACCUCGUAGGCGCCGGAGAGGAAUU